AUUGAACGCUGGCGGCAUGCCUUACACAUGCAAGUCGAACGGCAGCACGGGUGCUUGCACCUGGUGGCGAGUGGCGAACGGGUGAGUAAUACAUCGGAACAUGUCCUGUAGGGGGGGAUAGCCCGGCGAAAGCCGGAUUAAUACCGCAUACGAUCUACGGAUGAAAGCGGGGGCCCUUCGGGCCUCGCGCUAUAGGGUUGGCCGAUGGCUGAUUAGCUAGUUGGUGGGGUAAAGGCCUACCAAGGCGACGAUCAGUAGCGGGUCUGAGAGGACGACCAGCCAGACUGGGAGUGAGACACGGCCCACACUCCUACGGGAGGCAGCAGUGGGGAAUUUUGGACAAUGGGGGAAAGCCUGAUCCAGCAAUGCCGCGUGUGUGAAGAAGGCCUUCGGGUUGUAAAGCACUUUUGUCCGGAAAGAAAUCCUUGGCCCUAAUACGGUCGGGGGAUGACGGUACCGGAAGAAUAAGCACCGGCUAACUACGUG
rnacentral:rRNA from 1 species